rnacentral:tRNA from 1 species
GUGAGAGUAGCUCAGCUGGUCAGAGCACUGGAUUGUGGAUCCAGGGGUCGCGGGUUCAAAUCCCGUCUCUCACC